CACCUAUUUCGGGGGAAUUUUUGUUUUUAAUGCCGUCAUCAACUACCUGGAAUUUGAAUCAUUUUGCUUUCCCAUCACCGUGUAACCUUGCCCUUCACUCUGAGGAACGUGUCUCCGAAGAGCUGGCACCCGUCCGUGGUGCAGGUCUCGCGAGAAGGCGACAUCUCUCGCGUUACUUCCUUGUUUCCAGAAUCCUUAGCGCGAAGUGGGAAAACACUCGUUUAGCUUAGCUUUUUAUGAUCACUGCGGUUUCUUCAGUGGAUUCCCUGUUGGUUCUCCGUGAGAAAUGGCGGCUUCAGAACAGCCGCUGCCAAUGUCGAGAGGAUGUCAGAGCUCUGCUUCGCUUUCUCCGCCGCGGGGCGACCGAACCCUUCUAGUGAGGCACCUGCCAGCCGAGCUGACCGCUGAGGAGAAAGAGGACUUACUGAAGUAUUUCGGGGCGCAGUCCGUGCGCGUCCUGUCCGAUAAGGGGCGACUGAAACAUACAGCUUUUGCUACUUUCCCUAAUGAAAAAGCAGCUAUAAAGGCAUUGACAAGACUUCAUCAGCUGAAGCUUUUAGGUCAUACUUUAGUUGUUGAAUUUGCAAAAGAGCAAGAUCAGGUUCAUUCACCAUGUCCUUCUUCAAGCACUGAAAAAAAGAAAAGGUCUGAUGAUACUGUGGAAGAUGAUAAAGAAAAGAAAGAACUUGAUUGUUUAACCAUAGAAAAUGGAAUUGCACCAAACCAUGGGUUGACUUUUCCUCUAAAUUCAUGCCUCAAGUAUAUGUACCCACCACCUUCAAGCACAAUUCUAGCAAACAUAGUAAAUGCUUUGGCAAGUGUGCCUAAGUUCUACGUACAGGUGCUUCAUCUUAUGAAUAAAAUGAAUUUGCCCACACCUUUUGGACCAAUUACUGCAAGGCCUCCCAUGUAUGAGGACUAUAUGCCACUACAUGCUCCUCUUCCACCUGCAUCUCCUCAGCCACCAGAGGAACCUCCUUUGCCAGAUGAGGAUGAGGAAUUAUCUAGUAAAGAAUCAGAAUAUGAAAGCAGUGAUGAUGAAGACCGUCAAAGAAUGACCAAACUAAUGGAACUAGCAAAUCUUCAGCCCAAAAGACCAAAAACAAUAAAGCAGCACCAUGUGAGAAAAAAGAGAAAAAUAAAGGAUAUGUUGAAUAUACCAUCAUCUGCUUCACACGGCAGUUUACAUCCAGUGUUGUUACCUUCGGAUGUAUUUGACCAACCACAACCUGUAGGUAAUAAAAAAAUUGAAUUCCAUAUAUCUACCGACAUGUCAGCUGCAUUUAAGAAAGAUUUAGAGAAAGAACAAAAUUGUGAAGAACAAAAUUGUGACUUACCUGCUUCUGAAGUUGAUGCAUCCAAUAUAGGAUUUGGAAAAAUCUUCCCAAAACCAAAUUUGAGCAUCGCAGAGGAGAUUAAAGAAGACUCUGAUGAAAUGCCAUCAGAAUGCAUUUCUAGAAGGGAGUUGGAAAAGGGCAGAAUUUCUAGAGAAGAAAUGGAAACACUUUCAGUUUUUAGAAGUUAUGAACCUGGUGAACCAAACUGUAGAAUUUAUGUAAAGAAUUUAGCUAAACAAGUUCAAGAAAAGGACCUUAAAUUUAUUUUUGGAAGAUACGUUGACUUUUCGUCAGAAACACAACGCAUAAUGUUUGAUAUACGCUUGAUGAAAGAAGGUCGCAUGAAAGGACAAGCUUUCAUUGGACUUCCAAAUGAAAAAGCAGCAGCAAAAGCAUUAAAGGAAGCUAAUGGAUACAUUCUUUUUGGAAAACCUAUGGUGGUUCAGUUUGCUCGAUCUGCUAGACCAAAACAAGAUUCUAAAGAAGGAAAAAGAAAGUGUUAAAGAUUAGUAAAGAAGCAUUCCUGCGUAAAUACUGCUGUAAUACUGUCAUACAAAGUGUAUCCUUUCUUGUCGUAUCCUUUUUGGGGCAGUGUUUUUUUGAUUUUCCUGCAAGUGUUUUGUCUCUCCCCAACCCAUUGAUCCAGUUUAAGCAGUAAUUUUUUUACAAUGUAUUGAAAUGAAGUAUUUUAAAAAUUACCUGUGUUGAUUGAACAAAUCUUUUAUGUGGUUUUUAGAUUUGUUGCUUAAUUUUCUGUGCUGUCCUUUAGGUUAUGUAGUUUUUCCAGGGAAAGUUAGUGAAUCAGGUCAGCUUUUUACUUGGACAGUGUAUGCAUUUGCUUUAACACAAAUUUCAUUCUUGUUUCUUCUAUUUUGUAUUUUCUAAACCUAAUUCAGUAACAUAUAUGUUUUCUUUUUCAUGAUGUAUCUGGUUUAGGUGUUCUGUAUAUAUAAUGUGUUGUAAAAUUUGAUUGGGUUUUUUUUUCCUAUUAAAAAGUACAUUUGUUAAAAAUUUACAUAACUGGAUUUCAAUGUAAAUUCCAAAUAAGAGUAGCAGACCUUACAUCUGAGGUUUUAUUAUCGAGAUAGCAAGUAGAAGUAUCUUUUUUCCUCUUUAUUUUUCUAAGCAAAGUAAAACAAAAGGAAUAAGAAAAGAGUAACAGAGAGGAGAAUACAUAAUAUUGACUCAGGGUAGCUCAAUAAGUGGAAAGAAAAAUUCUGGUAGGUAUGUAAGAGCAGUGGUUUCCAGACUAGUUGAUAACCAGAACCACCCGAACAGUGGUUCUCAGUUUUGGCUGCAUACUGGAAUGACUUGUGGAACUUUUUAAAAAAAUACUGACUAAAGAAAACUAUAAUAAUAAACUAAAAAAUAUACAGAUGCCUGGGUUUCUCCCCCAGAGUUUUGAUUCAAUGGUCUGGAUUGCAGCAUACAUAUUAGGAUUUUCAGAUUUCCCAAAGUAUUGGUUCUAAUGUGCAACCAAGGUUGAGAACUAUUGAGGAAGGAUUUUUACACAUAAAGAUUCCUGGACUCUGCCCUAGAGCUAAUAAAUCAGAAUCUCUGGAAUUGGGACCAAGAAUCUAAUUUAAAAAGGUCCCUUAGUAGUUCUAAGGACUGACCAGUUUGGAUUCUACUUGUUAGAUUAAAAUGGCAAGGUGGAUCCGAGAUACCAACCUAACCAUCUAAACUUUUAUAAGUAGGAAAAUAAAGCACUGGAGCCUUUACAUUUCUUUCUUGCAAAUCCUGCUAUAAAUAGUACUAUGAAACCAGUGAAAAAUUCUGUUAAUCAUUGUCAUUCUGAGUACAAAAAGUUAGAGAUACUAAAAUUGCUGUCACUUUUUUCUACUGGCACAGUUAAAAUGUUUUAUUUUUUAAUGUUAUAAAUCAGUUUCUGUGUAAGCUGUUUAUUUAGACAAUUAAAAUUUUGUACUGACAUGAUUCACUAAUUUUCUAAAUAUAAAUGUUUUAGCUUUUAGUUAUUAUAAAACUAAACUGUUUUAUAAUCAUGAUUACUUUUAAUGAAUUUCUAUGGUAUUUUAGGUUCCAUUUGAAUUUUUCAUAUCUCUCAAGUGCUUUCCAACUUUGUGGAGACGAAAUUGACCACCUGGACUAUGGAACUAAAUGUGGUAUGCAAACUUCAUUAUGUUUGCCUUCAUUUCUCUAACCUUCACAUGUGACUUAUUAUCCUGAGAAUAAACCUUAUGGGUAAGUCUGAGCUAACAAUUUUUUUCUUCUUAACAUUGGAUAUGUUUUAUUGAAACUUCAAAUAUAAAUUUUCAAAUAUAAAUACUCCCUAAGAAGCACUGCUUUGUUGUUAAGCUAUUACCAAACAUCCUAUUUAAUAUUAUUUAGGAAUUCCCAAGACAUCUUAUUUAGCACAUUAUAGUAACCAUAAGAGCUUUAAAAUAAAAAGAAAUUUCCUCUAUUUAGAGCAAUCCAGAAAAAAUGAGGUGUGGGCAACAGAGCAUUGAUAUUAGUAUCACUAAUUAUGAAUAGCUUCUCUGAGGAGAACCAUUUUAGGAAAACUAUAAUGGGAAGUAGACAUAACAACUAUUUCAAGUUCUUAUUUUUUUGUUUUGUUUUGAUGCCAAAGAUGUCAAGAAUUUGUUUGCAUUGUUUACUUCCCAUGAUAUAAAUAUACUUUAGUUGUUUUAAUUCCUCUGCUGUGAAGUUUAUAACUCUUUAGAUUGACUGAGAUGAAAAUUAAGAUUAAGUGAGAAAACAUAUGACAAUGGCUGAUCCUUGGUAGAAGCUUAUUAUAUGUUUGCAUAUCUCCACCUAUGCUAGGAUGCUAAUAAAGACCCCCAAAUUGUGUUUGCAAGUUGUCCUUUAUUUUAAUAAUAUUUUUAAAUGCUUUGUGAAAAACACUUAUUUGUUACUUAAAGAACAGUUCAGAGAUAACUGAUGAGGCAAUGAGGAAAAGUUGUUUCAAAACUAACAUGUAGACUGCCAGAAGCUCUAAAGAGUUUUAAAAAAAGAGAAGAGAAUGGGGAAAAAAUUGCAGGUAGAAAACAUUGCUUGUCCUUUCUUAUCACCAUCUGUUCCUCUGGGGGAUAAAAAUAUAUCUGAGAUGUAGAAAGUAUUAUUAGAAUUUGGGAAUAGUGGAAUGGAAAGACAGAAUGUCCAAGUAAUGAUAAGUGAAAGUGGGAAGAGAACAUGAGUUUCUAGCAGUUUGAAUAGUACCAGAAGUAAAAAUAGCAAUAAAAUAAUAACAAUAUUACAGCAACCAAAUACAUUGAGCUUUUACUGUAUCCAUGCACUGGGAUAACAGCUUUAUAUGUGUUAAUCCAUUUAAUCAUCAUAACAACUCUAUGAGGUACAUACUACUUUUUCUAGUUUACAGAUAAAUUUAGAGAGGUUACUUUCCAGGAUCACACACCAGAUAAAUGGUAAGGUCAGGAUUUAAACAAUGCUUAGUCUAACUCCUAAGGUCGUAGUCUUAACCAUUACAUUUUAACAUUUGGAACCUUGGGUCAAGUAUGAAGUUCAAAUGUUCUCUUCUCUAACUCUCAACUCUUUAUCACCAUCAGCCGUAUGUCAUCCACUAUUUAGUCAGUCUUCUCUCCUAUUCUGUUUCUAAUAUUCAUGUACAUUCAGUUAGUCUCUUGUCCUCCUUGCAAAUUUUCCUUCCUAUUUGUUUUUGAAUACCUUUCUUUGGUAAUUAAACUCCUCUCCCUAUGUUGAAGGUAACUCUUUAUAUGUUCCCUACUACCUGCCCUAUCAUAUAGACUGCAGAGUUAUAACAUUGGAUUCAACAUGUCUAUUGGUACCUUGUCAACUUUUAAGGGUCCAGCUCUCUAGGCCUGAUAAUCCCACCAGAGUGAAAUGGCCUACACAUACUAGUUGCUUAUGAAUGGUAUCUGUUCCGACUGCUUGGUGUCUGUGCUAAAUUAGUUGUUAAAUCUUUUGUGUGCCAUUUCUGAAGCUAUCAUUUCUUUGUUGAAAGCUUCCAAGUCUCUCUUCUUCUUUCUUCAUAUCUAAUUUUUUUAUAGCCCGAACUCAGUAUAUUCCAUAUUAACUCUUCAGUUUCCCUAAAUCAAUCUGCCUCUAGGUUACACUAUGCAUGAUAAUGCCAUUGUCAUUGUUCCACUCACUAAACUUUAAAUCAUAGAGUCCUCUUUGAUUCUUCCUUUUCUCUAUUCCCCUACAUCUGAUUAGCUACCAUUUCUGUAGAAUUAUCUCCACCAAAUCUAUUGCAUCUCUCCUCUCUAUAUCAAUUCAUUAUUGCUGAAUAACAGUAAUUUAUUAUGUCUCAUAUGUCUAUGGUUCACUAAGUAGUUCUUCUGCUGAUUUAGCUCUGGAACAAUCAUUCAACUAACAGUUAGCUGGUAGGUCAACUCACAUGGUUAGAAUGGCUAGGGCCAAUUAGAUCUCUCCAUGUGGCCUUCCCAGUUAUCAUCACAACACAGUGGUCUCAGAUUUUCAAGAGAUGUACAGAUGCUAAUCAAACUUCUGUUUGUGUUUGUGGCUUGUUUGCUGACAUCCCUCUGGACAAAACAAAUUAUAAACCAAUUCCAUAAUCUAUUUAGGAAGAGAUUCCACAAAAAUAUGGAUACUGUCAAAUGUCAUUCAUUGGGUGGCACUUAUUGUUACAAUUUACCACAGUCUCCUAAUUUUCAUUUUUACUGCUGAAAUCAUAGUUCAGAUUUUCAUCACUACUCUGUUUUACUACUGCACAAGUUUUCGAUUGUUUCUAUCUCAGUUCUCUUUGCCUGCCAAUCCAUCUGCUAUACUACAAAAGCUCCAGUCAUGUUACUUUCCUUUUUAAAAAUAAACAAAUGAAUAAAAACCUUCUAUAACUUCUCAUAGCUAUCAGAAGAAAGUCUGCUUUCUUCUCCCUGACUUUGAGAGGCCCCCAAUAUAACUUUCCUAAGUCCUAUGGCUCCCCUACUUCUAACUCAAUGUUCUACAAAACUAUAUUAACUUCUUGCUAUUGUCCUUGCCUAAUUCCUACAAUUGCUAUAUUUUUUUCUUGCUUAAAAGCCAUUUCACCUUAUCUCUUUUCAUUAAAAUCAAAUCUAUUCUUCAAGUCAAUUUUACCUUCCCGUAUUCCCAUCAGUUACAAAGGAUUUUCCUAUUAGUGAAACCCUAAAGCACUUUACUCAUCUCUCUCUUAAGAUAGUGAUCAUAUCCUUCAUUUUAUUAUUGUUAUUUGUAUUUGUGCAUGGACAUGUCCUUUCUCAGACUUAGUAUGAGAAAGGUGCUACAACAGUGUUGUCCAAUAGAAAUAUAAUGAAAACCACAUAUGUAAUUUUAAAAAAUUUAGUAGCCAUAUUAAAAGAGGUAAAAAGAAACUAGGAAAUUUAAUGUUAAUAAUAAACUUUAUCUAGCCUAAUGUAUCACAAAAUAUUAUCUCAACAUAUAAACAACAUACUAAUUAAUUUUUUACAUUGUUUUUCAUGCUAACUUCAAAAUCUGGAGUGUAUUUUACAUACAUAUCAUAUUUCUGUCCAGAUAAAUCAUAUUUCAAGGGUUCAAUAGCAAAGUGUUGCUUUUGGCUACCAUAUUGGACAUUACAACCUGAGAAUUCUAUGAGAAACAUUGGUGUAGUACAGAGAAUGUUGACUCGUGGUAGGAUGAUUAUCAGAUUUUGGCCUUGUUACUUAUUAUAUGAGCCUGAACAAUUUAUUCAGUCUCUCUUAGCCUUAGUUCCUUUAUGUAUACAAAGUUUUUGCAAGGAUUAGAGUUGACUGUAUUACACAGUUUCUGACAUGGUGUUCAUUUACUUAAAAAAAACCAAUGUGGACAUGACCCAACCUACACCAAUGUCUUGCAAAAUACCUGGAUUUUAGAGUCUGUAUAUUGUAACCAUUUAUUGAUCACAUAAGCCAUUAUGCUAUUUGUUUUGCAAGGAAUAUUAAAUAUGAAGUCUACCUUUAAGAAGAUUGGUCCCAGAAUGAUGGCCAUAUAAAUACUUAUUUUUUACAAUAUAAAUCAAAUAUCACUUAAUAAUACCAUAUAAGUUAAAAAGCUGUCUUACAGAGGAGUCAUUAACUAUUCCUGGGAAUAUCAAGGUAAGCUUCAUCAGACGCUUUUUCAACUGCAUCUGAAAGGAAGAAAAGUUACCAGAUAUUCAUGGGUGAUGGAAGGGAACCAUAGAAAGUUAAAUAAAGUGCAUGAACGUCAUGGAGGAAUAAAAUUCCUUGUAAAAUAUGAAUAAAUUUUAGUUUUGCAAUGGAUAGGUGUUAGGGACUUCAUGUUUGUGUUCCACCCCACCAAAAAUUCAAAUGUUGAUACCCCAACUCCCAAUGGAAUGGUAUUAGUCUAUGGGGCCUUUGAGAAGUAAAUACGUUAAGGUGAAGUCAUGAGAGUGAAGCCCCCCUGAUAGGAUUAAUGUCCUUGUAAGAAGGGAAAGAGACUGAGAUUUUCUUUACUCUACACCAUGUGAGGAUGCAAGAAGAAGGUGGCCAUCUGUGAACGUGGAAGGGGGUUCUCACCAGACAUUGGAUCUUCUGAUAUUUUGGUCUUGGGUUUCCCAGACUCCAGAAAUGUGAGAAAUAAAUAUUUAAUUAUAAGCCAUCCAGCCUAUGGUAUUCUUGUUAUAGCAGCUUGAACUGAAUAAGAAAAUAGGACACAGAAUAUAUUCAUAAAGUAGGACACAGAGUCUAUUCAUAAAGUGGGUGAAUAUGGACCCACUUUGGGUCCUAGAAAGGACCAAAGGAGAGCAUUAGGAUUCAUAGAGUGCUCUUGGUACCCCCUCCAAAAAGCUAGUACUACCUCAUUUUUCAUCAUCUUAAUAAAUGGUAUCACCAAAUAUCUAUUUCUUUAAUAUUUCUCUUUCCCUCAUUCUUCAGCUUGAAUCUAUGUAUAAACCUAUUGCCUUUCUACCUCUGAGAUGUAUUCUGUCAGUGCAGCACUCCAAGCCACUUACUACUUUCCUAGACCACUGAAAAAGCCUAACUGAUCUCCUUGCCUCCACUGUUGUCUUCCUGUAAUCCAGUUUCUUCACAGAAGAGGAAGAAUGAUUUUUUUUAAGUAAAUCAAAAUCUCUUAGCUACCCUUCUUUGAGCCCCAAUGGCUUUCUCUUUCAUUAUGUUCCAAAGGGUGCUACAUGAUCUGGCCUACCUCUCUGACCUAAUCUCGUUUUACUCUCCCCUUGAUCACACAUUAUUUAGAUGCACUGCCUUUAUUUUAUUUUAGUGUCACUGAGUAUUCUAAGCUUUUUUCUACCUGGGCUUUUACUAUUGCACUUUCUUCUAUCUAGGUUGCUCUAUCUUCUAUCUUCAAAUAACGGGCUCCUUCUAAUCCUUCAAAUUCUACCUAAAAAUCACUUUCUCCGGGAUACCUUCCCUGACUAUUCAAGCUAAAAUACCCUGAUGGUGAAGUCAUUUUCUAUUUUAUUACACUGUUAUUUCAUACUAGUUCUUACUGCCAUCUUAAAUUGUUUUAUUAUUAUCAUUAUUUACUCAUGUAUUUUCUUUCCUUUCCAUUAAAAUGUAAGCUGCUCGAGAACAAAAUCUUGUCUGUCUUGUUCAUCACUGUAUCCUGAAUAUCAUCCUUGUGCUUUAGCAAAAGGCAGACACUCAGUUAAUGCUUGUUGAGUGAAUGGAUCUUUUUCCCCACAUGUACUAUAUUCUCUCUAGUAGGAUUUCAUAUAUUAAGAAGGAAAAUGGAUGUGAAUGUAUUAAUCUAGUGUUUUAUCAGGUAUAAGAGAUAUUUGGUUAUAAGAGAUAAGAGGGGAAAAAAAGCCACACUCUAUUGCUAUAGCCAAUGAAUUAAGCAAAGGAUUUGAUAGAGGGGGCAGGGGGAAAGGUCUGUUUCCUCAAUUCAUGAUCGUUCAUCUUCCAAAUAGUUUCUUAAAUCUUAAUGUAGAAACUUCAGUAACUAAAAAUAUUGGUUGUGAUACCAGAACUGAAUUGAAUAUUCUGUUUCUUUUUGAAAUUGAAACAUUGCAGAUGUUUGCAGUAGGUAGUUAAGGCAAUAUUUUGACUGUGAAUUCAGUUGGCUCUAAUUAUUAUUUUCCUUCUAUUAGUGUAGGACUUUAGAAAUAAGAUCUAAUCCUGUUAAAUAAUAAUUGCUUACAGACUUUUUAUAUGUAUAUAUAUAGAUGUGUGUAUAUAUAUAUAAAAUGCAAGAUGUUUAAAAAGGUUAAUAUUCCCUCAAUAAGGAAAACAUUGUUAUAACAUGUCAUUUAGAUCAGCUCUAAUAAGUAACCAACUUGAAAAACUCAGAAAGGCAUAAAAAAACAUGUAUACUUAAAUAAUUAUAAUAUCAUUACAAUCAACAUUUUUUUAUGUUUUAGAAGAUUCUCAUUAACCUUUUUGUCGAAGGCAUUUCUAAGAACUCAGAAAAGCAUGUUGAAAAACAUGUUUGUUGCCAUUAACACCAUUUGCCCAGCUAUGCAUCUCUAAUAUAUGUCUGUAUUUCUUACAUAUGGUGUUUCUAACAAUUAGUUAGGGGUAGCUGAUUUAAUGAUUAUUCCCAUACAAAGUCAUAACACUUGGGUGCUUUUUACAAUAUAAAGGCCCUUUUAUGUUUAAUAAGUUAAAAACUAAAAGACACAAAUUAUGCAGUCUAUAAUAAUUAAUUAUCUGGAGCUCACAGGAAUCUUCUCCUACAUUCUCUAUAUUCUUUUUUUCAUUCUCUUUCCAAUGGCUUUCACAUGAUGAUGUUGUAUGUCUUUGGUUUCCUCUCUUAACCCCUAAUACAAAUGGAUGUUUAUGUAGGGCUCUCAUGACACCAUUUACUCCGAGUUUUCUUCCUGAUCCUCUAGCUAUUCUCCUUCACCUUGACUGUAAAUGUGGAAUUUAUUAACGCUUUCAUCUAGGUCUUCUUAUAAAUUUCAGUUGUUUUAUUUUAAUGAUUGAAUAAGAAAAUAGAAUCCAUAACUUGGAAGCUCUCUCUUCUUUUCACCCACAAAUCUAUCUAUACUUGCCCCUGUCAUUUUCUUCUAUCCUCCUGUUAUGAUGAACAAAGUGCACUUCAUUUUACCAAAGUCCAUUCCCUCCAUUUUUACCUUUGUGAGGACUUUAUUUCUUAAAUUAUCCUUUCUCUUCAGAUUUAACAGUCUUUCUUUUUCUGACAGAUUAGUCCCCUCAGAUUACAUAUAUCACAUUAGAAUCUUUCAACUAAAAUAUCCGUGACCCUCAGUUUUUCCCUACUUAGUCAAACUGCUGAGUUUUCAUCACAUAGUCUCAACAUCCUCAACACUAGUCAUUUUUCCUCUCCUUACUGUUCAGUUUCCAUCAUCACUUUAUUUAAUCUGUUCUUGUCAACAUAAAAUAUUUGUUACUCAUACAAUGUACCUUUUUUAUCCUCAUCUUGCUGUACUUCACGAUAGGAUUCAAUAUGGAAAGACACUCUCACCUCCUCUCUUCCUUUGGCCUCUGUGAUUGUACUCUCUCCUUGUUUUCCUUCUCUCUCACUAAUUGCUCUUUUUCAGAUUUUUUUUAUUGUCUUUGACCUAAGAACUCAUUUGGAUCUAAUUCUCUUUCUUUUCAAUCCUCUCUUUAAAGUGUUUGCCAUCAUUUCCACGGAUUUAAAACACAUACUUUGGCAUGGAGGCCUGCAUCUUGAAAGCAGAUCUUAUCUUGGACUUCAGCCUCACAUUUACAAGAGAUCCUUCACAUCUCUACUUCACUGUUUCACAGACAUCUCCUACUUAACAUAUCCAAACUGUGACCUUCAAUUUGUUUCUUCAAGAAGCCUUUUGGUAUUCCCCACUGCUCUGUUUCACCACUUACUAAGAUACCUGAGGUAUUUCCUUGAUUUUUUUCCCCCUUCUCUUAACAACUUGCCCUACUUCUUCAUAUAAACCUUAGCAUGAUCUAUGAAUUUUUAUCUUCAAACUAUCUCUUAAUUCCUUGCACUUUUUUUCUUGUAUCCUCUUCCACCUCUUCAUCCAGGUCAUCAUUAUGUCUUGCCUGUGUUCCAAAACAACUUUUCUCCUGUUUGUACUGUUUUACUUCCUCAAUUGAUUUUACUACAAACCACAAAAUAAUAUUCAUAGUAUUUAAGUCAAAUUACAAACUCACAUGCCUUACACUAUUACAUUUUUAUUGCAUUUAGACUAAAAUCUCAACUCCUCAUGAUAACCUACAAUACUACACAUUAUCUGGCAUGAACCUAGCCCUUGAACCUCAGCUUUGCUCUUUCCCUUAGCAAUCCCAUACCCUCAGUCAUGAUGGCCUUUCUUCAUUUACUUGAAUGGGCCAUGUUAUUUUUCACCUUGGAGAUUUUUGGGGAUGUUUACCCCCACUUAUUUUGGAAUGCUCCUAACCCAGGUUUUAGUAUGGCUGGCUCCUGUUCUUUAUAAGUGGUCCCAUAACUCAGUGACUGGCAUCACCAGUCAUUCAGUUCUGCAAGCAAGAAAUCUGCUCUCAUCGUUGAAACCCUCUUCUCAUAUGUCACUCAGACCACCAUGCAUUCAGCAUCACAUUCCUAAUUUCCCUUCUAAAUAUUUCUCGACUGAGUUCUUUUCUCUCUCCACUGCCACUAUCUAGCCAUGCUUUUGUUAAAUGACUAAAAUCUCUUAUUUUACCAACAUUAUUACGAAGAAAACACCACAGACUCACAAUUUAAAACCAGACUUUAUUGUUUGUAACAAAUGCAUUGCAGGAUGGAUGCAGGGAGUCCAAACACAAGCCACGGCCUGGGAACACCUCACAGCAGUUUUGUAACACAUCAGAAUUACAUGCUUUCUUUUAGGUAAGAUUGUACACAGAGAACCCUUUUAAGAAUUUCCUGGUUGUUAGCAGGGGAGUAGGAUAACCAUGAUAAUCAGGUAUGUACAUCCGGGAAGGGAAGAUGAACAUUAUGGACUUAAGGCUGCAAACUUCAAAAAGGAUAUUUGAAAGGGAUUCUAUGAUGGGAUAGCAGUAUUUGUACAGGGAGCAUAUGUGUAUAGAGGUUAAAGAGCUUGUCCAGGAGAAUAGAACAUCAAGGACAUCUAUUGAAAUUGUUACUAUUAGCAUAUCAAACUGAUAGAACUUCACGUUCUGUUGACUAUGGAGGGGCUCGCUUCAGCAUCAGCAUCUACCUUAGCCCUUCCUCUAAUCAUUCCAUUGUCUACUGUGCAUCCAGAAUGGUCUUCUCAAAUCAGAAAACCACCACCAGCACCACCACCUUUCCCAAACCCUGUCAAUGGAUUACCACUUACCUUAGAAUAAAAGGCCAAAAUUCUUAGCAGGGCUAUUAGAGUUUUCUGCAUCUGAAGCCUCAUCUCCCAAACUCUCCUCUUCAACUUUUUUUUUUUUUUUUUU